AGGGUUUGAUCAUGGCUCAGAACGUACGCUGGCGGCACGCCUAACACAUGCAAGUCGAACGAAGUAGCAAUACUUAGUGGCAGACGGGUGAGUAACAUGUGGGUAUCUGCCCUUUGGCCUGGAAUAACACGAGGAAACUUGUGCUAAUACCGGAUAAGUCUUUACGGAGAAAGCUUUAUGCACCAUUGGAUGAGCCCGCACUUGAUUAGUUUGUUGGUGGGGUAAUGGCCUACCAAGACUGUGAUCAAUAGCUGAUUUGAGAGGAUGAUCAGCCACAUUGGGACUGAGACACGGCCCAAACUCCUACGGGAGGCAGCAGUGGGGAAUCUUGCACAAUGGAGGAAACUCUGAUGCAGCGAUGCCGCGUGAGUGAAGAAGGCCCUUGGGUUGUAAAGCUCUUUCGUCGGGGAAGAAAAUGACUGUACCCGAAUAAGAAGGUCCGGCUAACUUCGUGCCAGCAGCCGCGGUAAUACGAAGGGACCUAGCGUAGUUCGGAAUUACUGGGCUUAAAGAGUUCGUAGGUGGUUGAAAAAGUUAGUGGUGAAAUCCCAGAGCUUAACUCUGGAACUGCCAUUAAAACUUUUCAGCUAGAGUAUGAUAGAGGAAAGCAGAAUUUCUAGUGUAGAGGUGAAAUUCGUAGAUAUUAGAAAGAAUACCAAUUGCGAAGGCAGCUUUCUGGAUCAUUACUGACACUGAGGAACGAAAGCAUGGGUAGCGAAGAGGAUUAGAUACCCUCGUAGUCCAUGCCGUAAACGAUGUGUGUUAGACGUUGGAAAUUUAUUUUCAGUGUCGCAGCGAAAGCGAUAAACACACCGCCUGGGGAGUACGACCGCAAGGUUAAAACUCAAAUGAAUUGACGGGGACCCGCACAAGUAGUGGAGCAUGUGGUUUAAUUCGAAGAUACGCGCAGAACCUUACCAACACUUGACAUGUUCGUCGCGACUCUAAGAGAUUAGAGUUUUCGGUUCGGCCGGACGAAACACAGGUGCUGCAUGGCUGUCGUCAGCUCGUGUCGUGAGAUGUUGGGUUAAGUCCCGCAACGAGCGCAACCCUCACUUUUAGUUGCCAUCAUUAAGUUGGGCACUCUGAAAGAACUGCCAGUGAUAAGCUGGAGGAAGGUGGGGAUGACGUCAAGUCCUCAUGGCCCUUACGUGUUGGGCUACACACGUGCUACAAUGGUAAGUACAAUGAGAUGCCGAGCAGCGAUGCUUAGCCAAACUCAAAAACUUACCUCAGUUCGGAUUGCACUCUGCAACUCGAGUGCAUGAAGCUGGAAUCGCUAGUAAUCGUGGAUCAGCGUGCCACGGUGAAUACGUUCCCGGGUCUUGUACACACCGCCCGUCACACCAUGGAAAUUGGUUUUACCUUAAGGCAAGUUAUUAACCC
rnacentral:rRNA from 1 species